rfam:Salmo salar isolate Sally breed double haploid chromosome ssa03, whole genome shotgun sequence.
GGCAUGGUGGCCAAGUGGUAAGGUGUUGGUCUUGUAAACCAAAGAUCAUGGGUUCAAAUCCCUUCUGUCCCU